GUAACGGGGUGUUAGGGCACGACACCGGAGAGGGAGCCUGAGAAACGGCUACCCACAUCCAAGGAUGGCAGCAGGCGCGCAAAUUACCCAAUCCCGACACGGGGGAGGGUAGUGACAAAUAAAUAACAAAUACGGGGAUUCUAUAGGAUUUCGUAAUUGGAAUGAGUACAAAUUUAAAUCUCUUAACGAUCAACAAAUUGGAGGGGCAAAGUCUGGUGCCAGCAGCCGCGGUAAUUCCAGCUCCAAUAGCGUAUAUUAAAGUUGUUGCAGUUAAAAAGCUCGUAGUUGAAUUUCGGGGUUAGUAGGUUGGUCAUGCCUCAGGUAUGCACUGAUCUCACUGAUUCCUCCCUCUUGACGAACUGUAAUGUCAUUAAUUUGGUGUUGCAGGAAAUCAGGACUGUUACUUUGAAAAAAUUAGAGUGUUUAAAGCAGGCUAAGGCUUGAAUACAUUAGCAUGGAAUAAUGAAAUAGGACGUUUGAACCUAUUUUGUUGGUUUCUAGGAUCGACGUAAUGAUUAAUAGGGAUAGUUGGGGGCAUUAGUAUUCAAUUGUCAGAGGUGAAAUUCUUGGAUUUAUUGAAGACUAACUACUGCGAAAGCAUUUGCCAAGGAUGUUUUCAUUAAUCAAGAACGAAAGUUAGGGGAUCGAAGACGAUCAGAUACC
rnacentral:rRNA from 1 species